CAGCACUAAGUGGGUGGUAAACUCCAUCUAAAACUAAAUAUAACCAUGAGACCGAUAGCAAACAAGUACCGUGAGGGAAAGUUGAAAAGAACUCUGAAUAGAGAGUUAAAUAGUACGUGAAACUGCUUAGAGGUUAAGCCCGAUGAACCUGAAUAUCCGUUGUAGAAAAUUCAUCAUCAAUUUUGUGAUAUUUUUUUUUAAAUAUUAUAUGAAUGGUGUGCACUUUUUCUACUUAAGGACAUUGUAAUCUGUUAAUGUUUAAAUGCGUAUUAUAAGAACAUUUACACAAGUUUUUACAUUAUUUAAUUUAUUAAAUAUGUUUAAAUGUGAAUGCUUCGAAUAUGCCAUUGACAGAUUUUUACAUAUAUUACACUUAAAUCUUUUUGAUUUUAUAAUAAUAUGAUUAUCAUUGAUUUUUAUAUUUAUUAUAUGUGUAUAUAUGAUUGACAAUGCGAAAGAUUCAGGAUACCUUCGGGACCC
rnacentral:rRNA from 1 species